ACGGGAGGCAGCAGUGAGGAAUAUUGGUCAAUGGACGGAAGUCUGAACCAGCCAAGUCGCGUGAGGGAUGAAGGCCCUACGGGUUGUAAACCUCUUUUGCCGGGGGAUAAACCUGACCACGCGUGGUCAGCUGAAGGUGCCCGGUGAAUAAGCAUCGGCUAACUCCGUGCCAGCAGCCGCGGUAAUACGGAGGAUGCGAGCGUUAUCCGGAUUUACUGGGUGUAAAGGGCGCGUAGGCGGGGAUGCAAGUCAGGUGUGAAAUCUAUGGGCUUAACUCAUAAACUGCAUUUGAAACUGUAUCUCUUGAGUGCUGGAGAGGUAGAUGGAAUUCCUUGUGUAGCGGUGAAAUGCGUAGAUAUAAGGAAGAACACCAGUGGCGAAGGCGAUCUACUGGACAGUAACUGACGCUGAGGCGCGAAAGCGUGGGGAGCAAACAGGAUUAGAUACCCUGGUA
rnacentral:rRNA from 1 species